UAGUUKAAGCUUCGNCUAGGCUGCUUCCACACUGYNUGAGGAAUAAGCAUYGGCUAACCCUGUGCCAGCAGCCGCGGUAAUACAGGGGAUGCAAGUGUUAUCCGGAAUUAUUGGGCGUAAAGCGUCUGCAGGAUUGAUCUAURAGUUCUUUUGUUAAAUCUUCGGGCUCAACCCGAAAGCCGCAAAAGAAACUAUUUAUCUUGAGUAUGGUAGAGGUAAGGGGAAUUUCGAGUGGAGCGGUGAAAUGCGUAGAUAUUCGAAAGAACACCAAUAGCGAAGGCACCUUACUGGGCCAUUACUGACACUCAGAGACGAAAGCUAGGGUAGCAAACGGGAUUAGAUACCCCGGUAGUCCUAGCUGUAAACGAUGGAUACUAGAUGUUGCGUACUUUAUAGUAUGCAGUGUCGUAGCUAACGCGUUAAGUAUCCCGCCUGGGGAGUACGAUCGCAGGUUGAAACUCAAAGGAAUUGACGGGGGCCCGCACAAGCGGUGGAGCAUGUGGUUUAAUUCGAUGCAACGCGAAGAACCUUACCAGGGCUUGACAUACUGCAAAUUUUCUUGAAAGAGAAAAGUGCCUUCGGGAAUGCAGAUACAGGUGGUGCAUGGCUGUCGUCAGCUCGUGUCGUGAGAUGUUGGGUUAAGUCCCGCAACGAGCGCAACCCUCGUUUUUAGUUGCCAUUUUAUGGGUUCUCUAGAAAGMCUGCCKRUGACAAACCGGAGGAAGGUGGGGAUGACGUCAAGUCAGCAUGCCCCUUAUGCCCUGGGCUACACACGUGCUACAAUGGCUAAGACAAAGAGUCGCGAAUUCGCGAGAAUCAGCUAAUCUCAUAAACUUAGUCUAAGUUCAGAUUGUAGGCUGCAACUCGCCU
rnacentral:rRNA from 1 species